rnacentral:lncRNA from 1 species
GACAAGUGGUAGAUAUAUCUGAAAAGCAGGUACAUCUUCAAUGUCAGCUUCCGCCAUCCAAAGCGACUCAGCUCUAAGAUCUGCACGCAAGGUGCCGAAGUGUAAUAUGUGUAUAACUAACCCAUAUACUCAGCAAGUAUCAUAACUAACCUCGGCCAGGUAAUAGUGGCAAGAAUUAUUAAUGAUACUCGCUAAUAACUUGUUCAAUUCUUGAAUUUCACAAAUACAUAGGAAUGGUGCCAUCUAAUCAUAUAACACAGAUGAAACCACAUCGGUGCACAAAGGAUAAUGUGCUAAGUCCUAAAUCAGUUAACAAUCCAGUAUAUAGAGAAUAUAUGAAUCCAAUGUCAUCAAAUCAUCAAACAUGCAUAUAGAGAAGAUAUGCGUAAAGUAUCAAAUAAUCUUUCCACAAUUUCAUAUAGAGAAGAUAUGCGUGAAAUAGCAACUAAAUCAUCAACAAGUACAUAUAGGGAAGAUGUACAGAAAGUUAUGUAUACAUCCAAGGAGUUUGUAAAUAGAGAAGAGAUGCAAAGUCCAACCAAUGAUCAACUUUACCAAAAUCCACAUUAACCAGAAAUCUGUCGGUUUCUCACAACCUGUGUAUACACCAUCAAGAGAGAAACAUGAGAGGGUGACUCUAGGGGGAUGGAUACUUAUCUACACGUUGCACUAACAACUCACGUGCUGCAAAGACAACUCAGGUUCCAACAAUAACAACAGCACGGACAACUCACAUGCCAAUAAUAACAAUUGCUCGGAUAAUUCACGUGCCAAUAAUAACAACCGCACGGAUAACUCACAUGCUAUCAUAACCCGAAUUCGCAUGGACUACUUAGUGCUAUAAGUCCAGUCCAUAUCACACAGAAAGCACAUAAACAAGAAUACAUGUUCAUGAAUAAUGGAUAUCAAAUUACAUACUCAUGGACUGAUAUAAGUGACAUGCUAAGGUGUAUGCAUGUGGCGAAGUGUACUGUCAUAGCUCAAAUUAAGCAAUUUCGUCACAAAAAUAGCAGUUAUCAUGUUCAAUAAGGGGAUUAACCUAUAUGUAACUUCUAACACGAUCCAAUUAGCUCAUAAAGGGGUACAAACAUAAGAAACAUAAUAGCAUGAGGCUUAACAAUCAAUUCAAGGCAUAUUGUAGCCUAAGAACUAUCCCGAGCAUGGAUAAUACCCUGGCGUACACACAUGGGCUCAACCCCUCACAUGUGCGCCACCUAUAGCACAUUUCAAUCACUAAUAACUCAGGCAACUAGUGCCUCAACCAUGUUUAGGUAAGAUACUUACCUCAAUAAUCCCAAAUCAAUCCUAAAAAAAUAGCGUUUUCUCAAAAGGUCUCCUCCGACCGACUCAAAUCUAGCCAAAAAUAGCCCAAUAACAUAAAAAAAUGCUAAAGAAAUUAAUUUAAAACAAUAAAGCUUCGAUCCUUACCAAAAAUAGCAAAUUCAACCAAAAUGUCAACCCGUGCCCGCUUUCCGAAACUAGACAAACUCAGAAAUUCUGAUAACCCAUUUAAAUAUAAGUCCAACCAUACAAGUUUCAUCCAAAUUCGACUCUGAAUCGAUGUUCAAAUCUCAAUUUUUUUACUUUAGAAAAUUUUUGCCAAAAACGCCAAAUUUUCUCUUGUAGAUUCACAUCAAAAACUAAAAACAUGGAUGGAAUCAUGAAAGCAUAAUAGCCUAAUAGACUCUUGUACUUAUUUGCGUUUGUCAUCCCGGUCUCUAUAUUUAAUAGUAUGUCAAGUGAACAGUUAAACUUUUUCAGAAUAAAUUUUUUAAAUACCUCUAACCGCUGACCAAUCUUAUAUGGUAUGAACAUAACUGAGUUGGAUGAAAUAUAUAAUAUACCAAUGCAGAAGGGGCGUGAAUUGAUUUAAAAGAACUGAAAUCAGAUCUAUGAAUAAAAAUUAAAAAGAAAAAGGCCAAAAAAAUAAAAGAAAAGUGAAAACAGUCAAUUCCAUCUUCAUCUCAAAAAUCAGUCCGCUGCUACUGCCUCUUGUCCCUACUACUCCCCUUCCACCACCCACACCGCCUUUACCAUCGUCGUCUCCGUUUUCUCCUCCACCACCACCACCUCCAACAUCUUCCUCUGUUUUAAGAUUAGUUGCAAAAAGAGAGAUUACAAGUAUCUGUUGUAUUCCCCAAUAAAGCAAAUAAAACCUGUGAUUCUUGAAAGUGGAUGAUAAAAAAGAGGAUCCUGUUACUUUAUGAAAUGUUAGUGACGAAAUCUGAAGCAAUCAGUUGAAGAUGACGGCUCUAAUGGUUUUCUGUGAUGCUUUUUUAUGGCUUGAUAUAGUUUUUAAGGUGAGAUAAACAAGAAUAGUGAGAAGAUUAUUUGGGAAGCAAUUCAACUCCGGCCAUGGCUUUUUCCAAUUUGGGUUUCUGAGAGAUGGAAGGAAAUUGUGUGAAUGCAGAGAUGGGUCUAAAAGAAAAUUGUGUAUUUUAAUGGUUGAAUUUGAGUUGAAUAUGGAAAUUCUUGAAAGAAUUUGAGUUGGCCAAAAAAUAUUGGUGGCAAGCUAGUGGUGCUAAUGGUUGAAAUUGUGUGUAUGUGGA